rnacentral:rRNA from 1 species
UACGUAGGGUGCGAGCGUUGUCCGGAAUUACUGGGCGUAAAGGGCGCGUAGGCGGUGUGUCAAGUCAGGCGUGAAAGCCCCGGGCUCAACCUGGGAACCGCGCUUGAGACUGGCACGCUCGAGUUCGGGAGAGGAUGGUGGAAUUCCCAGUGUAGAGGUGAAAUUCGUAGAUAUUGGGAAGAACACCGAUGGCGAAGGCAGCCAUCUGGACCGACACUGACGCUGAGGCGCGAAAGCGUGGGGAGCAAACAGG